ACGGCUUGCUGCGACGUACACACUCCAACCUCGCUGUCGCCAUGUUGUCAUGUCCAUGGAGCUCUUGGCCACGUGUUGGUGACGGUUGGUCCAUGUAGUGUCCUUGGGCACGUGACAACAUUGCAGUCUGACUGCAAACCCCUGUUGCCAGACACCUGGAUGAUCGACGCACGUGCGGGGAAACCAAACCAACUACAGAGUCCCGCGCACGUACACCACAAUCCGGCAGCGAGGUCGCGUGUAGUGUCUGUGGGCGCGUGACGAUAUCACAGACCGACUGCGAGACGCCUGGAUGAUCGACGCACGCGCGGGGAAACCAAACCAGCUGCAGGGGCCCGCGCGCGCACGCCAUGUGCCGGCAGCGCGGUGCUCACCUUCGCCGUGCUGGUCGACGAACUGGAACGCCUUGACCAGCCUCAGGGUCUCAUCCACGCUGCGCCCCACAGGCAGGUCGUUCACCGUGAUCUGGCGCAGGAUACCCUGGAGCAGGUACUUCUCUUGUGUUUCCAAAUCAAAAAAAAAGACCAAAAUAAAACUGCACAUAUAUGCAUAUACACAUAUGCAUGAUCACAUACAUACGCAUAUUCACAUAUUAAUUUCCAUUUAUAUAAACUAUAAAGAUUAACAUCAGCCUUAACUGUUGCUAAGCAUUUUGCAAAUAAAUUUUUUUUUAAAAAAAACCAUUCGACCUCAGGAAACUAGUAAGAGUGAACGUCACAAGCAAUAAUAAUACAAAUCUUAACUUGUAUCGUUUAUCAUCAGCAAAAUUGCUAAGCAUGUUACAAAAAAAAAUAAAAAACAUUCAACCUCAGGAAACUAGUAAGAGUGAAUGUCACAAGCAAUAAUACAAAUCUAACUUGUAGGUACCAUUCAUCAUCAGCUAAAUUGCUCAGCAUGUUACAAAAAAAUUUUUAAAAAAACAUUCAACCUCAGGAAACUAGUAAGAGAGAACGUCACAAGCAAUAAUACAAAUCUAACUUGUAUCAUUUAUCAUCAGCAAAAUUGCUAAGCAUGUUACAAAAAAAAAUAAAAAACAUUCAACCUCAGGAAACUAGUAAGAGAGAACGUCACAAGCAAUAAUACAAAUCUAACUUGUAUCA